ACUCAAGAUAUGUAUAUCAUUUUUAAAAUGUCUCAAAAAAGGUCUUAAAGACCCUUUUUUUAUGUUUUUGGUAUUAACGUUUUUUUUUAAGCAAUUCGGCAAUGACGUCACGUUGGGUAGAAGUAGAUGAAAGCCUCAGCCAGAGCCAUAGAGAUAGAUGAGACAUUUAUUGCCGUUUUAUUAAUACUUACGUUUAUAAUAUGGAAAUCAUAUAUACAUAAUAGGAAAUAUAUAAUGUGGUAUACUGCAAAGUUACCCUGCUAAUUAUUAUUUAUGAUAUAUGUGGAGAUAAAUAAAACUUUGCAAAUCUGCUGAUUCAAUCCAUUCAUGUCCUGACCACCAGGCUAGAGAGUUUUAAACAUCCUUAAUCCACACUUACUAGUCUAUCAUAUAAUAUCUAAAAUAUAUUUUUAUGUGAAAUAAAAGGAAGUUUUGUUAUAUUGUUUAUGCGAUCAUAACGAAUCACACGAUCAUUUUAUACACAGAAGCAGCGGUCAGCAGCUGCAGCGGGCUUGAAUCCGACCGCAUACUGCAAUAAACAGGCGUUCGGCGGCUUUUUACAUCAAAGGAUGACAGGCUAGAAACCAAUCAAAUCACUGAUCCCCGUAUUUUUAUAAAUCCUGGACAUGAUUGGACCGGCCGAAUGGGUUGAGCACUUUUAUAUUUGUUGAGCAGAGAGGCUGCACAGUUUGACCAGCGGGCUGCGGGAACCGGCCGCACAUCAGACCGAGAUAUAACUCCCAAUGUAUAACUAUUAUCAGACCGGCCAAACGGGAAAGUCCCGACUCUCCCGACUGACACUCCGCUACUGGCUGUAGGGAAAUGUGUGUGUUUUGAUCGGUGUUCGAGGCUCUUACCCCGCGACCAGAUGUGACGACGUGACGCCUCACUCAGCUUCCAGGAUUUGAGUCAUGCUGCCUGAAUUUGUUUGUGCUGAAGAUCGCAUACACCCAUUUCAGCAGGAUUAUUGUCCCCAUCAAACCAGCACGCACGAACUGAGGGAAGGGCAAUUUGACAUCUCUUACCUGCACAUUUUUGACUGUGGGAGGAAACUGGAGUACCCAGAGUAAAGCCACACCGACACAGGGAGAACAUGCAAACUCCACACAGAAAGACUUCCUGACCCAGCUGGGAUUCAACCUGAGGACUUUCUUGCUGAAUCACAUGAAAGGUCACACCAGGUCAAGUGAAGCUGCUAGCUAGAACAUCAUAAAUGCACAGCAUAAAGAAAAAUAACUUCAAACAAAAUAUGCAAAUUAUUAACUAGUGUUUUUUUAAAUAAUUUAAAUGCUAUGCUAGUUGUGUUUUAUGUUGCUAUUUUGUAAACUGUUAUGUGUUAAUGUGGGCCUAUUCUUUAAGUUUUUCUAUGCAACAGUGUAUCAAUUAAUUGAAUACUUUAAUUGGUGCUGGUGGACUCUGUCACAGGUGCAAAGUUGAAAAGUAAAACAAUCACAUGUUAAGAUAUUUGCAUGGCUUUUCAUAAAUGCUAGUGAUGUAUUUAGGUGAACAGAAAAUUAGUCACAAAGGCUGGAGGGUGAGCAGUGGUAGUUUCUAUCUGGUUUAUAAAGUAAGUCACCACUACCGAUUAGUUGGGCACUUGGGUCUUGAGGUUUUAAUGUUAGUUUUAGGGAUGGGACGAUUUUCCGGUUUCACGAUUAACCACGAGAAAAUGUCCUGGCGGUUAGUAUUAUCGUUUAAAAUUUAAUUAUCAUUACAACCGUGUUUGUUUACUGUGAUUUUGAAAGCUCGCUGUAAAUCCUGUCCAGCCAGAAUCAGUUUGACCCAUGACAUGCACAUGCAACAUAGUUUUUUGCACAAGGCGGUAUUUAAGGGAUAAUGUAUUGUAUUCAUACACGGUAAACUUAUUAGACAGAUUUAUUUAUUUUUUUUACCAUAGAAAUAAUUUCAAGGACAUGAAAUAUUAAAUUGUGAUUUUCAAAAAUAAAACUUGGUCAAAUA